CGACGUUCGUUCACUUUUCAUCAAACAGUUUUCUGAAGUUUAAAUACCUCUGCUGAUUUAACAGAUAUGAAUAAAGUCGUCACGAGUGUUGCUUUAUACUAUAAUACACGGUAGUUCGAUGAAAGAAACGUUCUGCAAUCUAACAAUUGAAUAAACUUAUCUCACGGAGUUUAUUCCAAAUUUACUUACUGAAUCGGUAAUGCAGAUAUCAGUGAACAUGUAUCAAAGGAGAUACUCUAUUCUGUUCCGGCAAGUGUUUACGAGUGAGUGAUGCUUACUGUGUCAGGAAUUCAAAGGCUCGUCAAAACUCGUGUUUGUGUCAUAACGAUUUCAAGAUAGCAAGGACCGUAACACAGAAACAUUACAAAGACGUCACUGAAGCCAUCGAGUCCAGCACUGAUCACGGCACAACCAAAGAUUUUCACUUGAUAUUAUUCAGGAAUUAAAUCGAGUCGAUGAUCAAACGGGCUUUUUCGACAGUCAAAAUCUCCAGAUGCUUGCGGGUGUCGGCCGGAGGGCCUAUCGCGUCAGAAGUACUGCAGUCUGUCCGUCUUUCCGUCACCAACUUUUGUUGAGUUCAUCUGAAGACCCUGCGAGAGAUGUUGGAAAAGUUGAAAAGUCAACGAAG